CCUACGGGGGGCAGCAGUGAGGAAUAUUGGUCAAUGGGCGAAAGCCUGACCCAGCAAUGCCGCGUGAAUGAAGAAGGUCUUAGGAUUGUAAAAUUCUGUCCUAUGGGGAGUAAAACAUGACGGUACCAUAUGAGUAAUCCCCGGCUAACUACGUGCCAGCAGCCGCGGUAAUACGGAGGGGGCGAGCGUUGUCCGGAAUUACUGGGCGUAAAGAGUGCGUAGGCGGCACUACAAGUCUCAUGUGAAAUACCCGGGCUUAACGUGGGGGUUGCAUGGGAAACUGUAGGGCUUGAGUACAGGAGAGGUAAGCGGAAUUCCUAGUGUAGCGGUGAAAUGCAUAGAUAUCAGGAGGAACACCAGUGGCGAAGGCGGCUUGCUGAACUGAAACUGACGUUGAGGCUCGAAAGCGUGGGGAGCAAACAGGAUUAGAUACCCCGGUAGUC
rnacentral:rRNA from 1 species